rnacentral:lncRNA from 1 species
CAAUUCAAAGGAUGUCACCACUUGAGUAGAGGAAAAAAAUUUUGAAUUUUUAAGAGAGGCUAUGUUGAGUAUAUAGCUUUAGGAUGAGGACUCACAUGAAUCUCGAUGCAAGGGGAAGAAUUAAUUGAUGGGGUCUCCACCCAAGUCAAGAGUGGGAUAUUGCUAAAAAGAAGGGACGAGAAAGACUUUAGCUGUGGAACCUCCACUAUGGCAGUUUGAGGAGAAGACACAAAGAUAUCUUUCAAGCUAUAAUAUGCACAUUUAGUGCCCUGACAAGAAGGAGGGAGAUCUUUCUCUUUUGAUGGUGGUUCUUUUUCACAAGGAGUGAAAGAUCAAGUUAGCCAAAGUCUCAAUUCUGGUGUCAAUGUAGGAGGAUUUUGAUGCCAAAACCAAUGUAUUUGAAUGUGAAAUCAUAAUGUUAGGCG